AGAUACAUGGAAAAUGAGCGGAAGUAUGGAGUAUCUUGAAAAAAGAUUGUGGAUUGCCUGAAACAGUAGUAUUCUUCAUUAUUGUGCUUUAUAGGUAGUCCUUGACUUAUGAUCAAAAUUGGGACUGGAAUCUUGGUUGCUGAUCAAAGCUGUCAUUAGGAAAGACAUCAUGUGACUCAGUCCUCCCAAUUGCAGUCAUUAAACAAUCUCACCGGUUCUUCAGCAGAUUCCCAGGUCCAUUGGUUAUGACAAAAAAAAAACCUGACCAACCAGAUUGUCACCUGGGCCUAACAUCACUUUGGUCUGUGUUCAACACAGCACUGACUUGGUCUCUUCCUGGCUGUUUUUGCCCAAGGAGGAAUGCUUCAAUAUCAUCUGCCAAACUGUAAGCAGAACUUACAGCAAGCUGUAAUUAAAGAUAGGAAAACUUCUCAUAUAUUAUUAGAGUGAGUACUUGGACUUCCGGUUCCGGAUCGUGGCAUCUCUAGUCGCACGAAGAGACUCGUCCUCUCAUCGGCUAGUUUUCCCUCUGCUGGUAGACCCUUAUGCGGGUUGAAAGUCACCCUGGAGGGUGCGAUUCUGUCGACGAGGCUUCGCUCGGCUGCAGAGGAGUGGCAGCUCCUCCAGCUGUCCGAGCCAUCUCUGAGGGCCAACGGAGAAGGAAGAUUGGCCAGUAAAAUGGCCGAUCACCCAGCUGCUCCAAAUUGCAAGUCAAAGAACAUCUAAGC